rnacentral:rRNA from 1 species
GGUGGGGUUGUCCUGAAGCAAAAUAUCCCAAUUGAGGUACAUGCGUCGGAGGUGUACACCAGGAUAAUGUUUGAGAAAUUUGGUGAAGUAUUGUAUGGAUGUGGAUCUUAUGACCUAAUAGAAGUCAAGCCACACUUGGAGUAUAUUGCUAGGCACAUCAAAUUUCAGUCAAGGGAAAAAUGGUGCAAGAACGAGUUUGUGAUCACUGUGAGCGAGGCAGCCGACGAGUUCAAGUGUGAGUGUGGGACGUUUGAGCACUAUGGAAUGGUGUGCAGCCAUGCACUUAAGGUGAUGAUACACCUAAAACUGCGUGAGCUCCCUGCGAAGCAUGUGCUGAAGAUAUGGACAAAAGACGCGAGAGAUAUACUGCCGCCAGAGUAUUUGCGCUACCAAAAGGAUCAUGGGCCGCUCAAGUAUUCCUCUCGUCGACACAACACUUUAUACCUCUUGGCGCUGGAUGUUGUUAAGUUAGGUGACAUCAAUGUGGAAGCAUAUGCUCUUGCUGAGGAAAAACUGCGACAUGUCAAAGUGCAGCUGGAGCCAGUUGCUGCUGUGAGGGAUGGACUUGGGUUGUCUGAUAAGGAGCUGGCCGCAGAUUCAGCGGGUUCCGGCGUUGGUAACAAGCAGCACUUUGGUCGACCUGAGUCUGAGCACACCAUUUCACAGGGAUUGGAUGUGUUCCCAGCUGCAUCAAAGAAGCGGCCGGCUGGGCGCCCUACAACCAGCCGUGACAAGCCUCCAUAUGAACAACCAUCAAAGAGGACUAGGUUUUGUUCAAUAUGCAGACUUCAGGGGCACAAGAGCACGACAUGCCCUGCAAGGGGUGAUGUGCCAAAGGCGCCCCGGAAAUCUCCUCGCUGCUCAAAAUGUGGUUUGACCGGGCAUAGGAAGAACACAUGCAGCAACCCCCCGAAAGUAUGA